rnacentral:rRNA from 1 species
GGCGAACGCUGGCGGCGUGCCUAAUACAUGCAAGUAGAACGCUGAAGAGAGGAGCUUGCUCUUCUUGGAAGAGUUGCGAACGGGUGAGUAACGCGUAGGUAACCUGCCUUGUAGCGGGGGAUAACUAUUGGAAACGAUAGCUAAUACCGCAUAACAAUGGGUGACCCAUGUCAUUCAUUUGAAAGGGGCAACUGCUCCACUACAAGAUGGACCUGCGUUGUAUUAGCUAGUAGGUGAGGUAACGGCUCACCUAGGCGACGAUACAUAGCCGACCUGAGAGGGUGAUCGGCCACACUGGGACUGAGACACGGCCCAGACUCCUACGGGAGGCAGCAGUAGGGAAUCUUCGGCAAUGGGGGCAACCCUGACCGAGCAACGCCGCGUGAGUGAAGAAGGUUUUCGGAUCGUAAAGCUCUGUUGUAAGUCAAGAACGAGUGUGAGAGUGGAAAGUUCACACUGUGACGGUAGCUUACCAGAAAGGGACGGCUAACUACGUGCCAGCAGCCGCGGUAAUACGUAGGUCCCGAGCGUUGUCCGGAUUUAUUGGGCGUAAAGCGAGCGCAGGCGGUUUGAUAAGUCUGAAGUUAAAGGCUGUGGCUCAACCAUAGUUCGCUUUGGAAACUGUCAAACUUGAGUGCAGAAGGGGAGAGUGGAAUUCCAUGUGUAGCGGUGAAAUGCGUAGAUAUAUGGAGGAACACCGGUGGCGGAAGCGGCUCUCUGGUCUGUAACUGACGCUGAGGCUCGAAAGCGUGGGGAGCGAACAGG